GCCAGUGGUGAACUCCACAUCCGCAUCCUUUGCUGAGGAUACGGUUAACGGAGCGAAAGCGACGUUCAACCGCAAAACAAGCAGAGGGGGCUUAGUGGUGGGGUGACUGCGUACCUUUUGUAUAAUGGGUCAGCGACUUAUAUUCUGUAGCAAGGUUAACCGAAUAGGGGAGCCGGAGGGAAACCGAGUCUUAAUUGGGCGUUAAGUUGCAGGGUAUAGACCCGAAACCCGGUGAUCUAGCCAUGGGCAGGUUGAAGGUUGGGUAACACUAACUGGAGGACCGAACCGACUAAUGUUGAAAAAUUAGCGGAUGACCUGUGGCUGGGGGUGAAAGGCCAAUCAAACCGGGAGAUAGCUGGUUCUCCCCGAAAGCUAUUUAGGUAGCGCCUCGUGAAUUCAUCUCCGGGGGUAGAGCACUGUUUCGGCUAGGGGGCCAUCCCGGCUUACCAACCCGAUGCAAACUGCGAAUACCGGAGAAUGUUAUCACGGGAGACACACGGCGGGUGCUAACGUCCGUCGUGAAGAGGGAAACAACCCAGACCGCCAGCUAAGGUCCCAAAGUCAUGGUUAAGUGGGAAACGAUGUGGGAAGGCCCAGACAGCCAGGAUGUUGGCUUAGAAGCAGCCAUCAUUUAAAGAAAGCGUAAUAGCUCACUGGUCGAGUCGGCCUGCGCGGAAGAUGUAACGGGGCUAAACCAUGCACCGAAGCUGCGGCAGCGAACGUAUCACCCAAGACAACUUUACGGAGUUGACGAUUGACGGAGCGAAGCGACGUCAAAGCGUUCAUUAAAGUCGAGUUGGCUUAGGGAUACGUUCGUUGGGUAGGGGAGCGUUCUGUAAGCCUGUGAAGGUGUGUCGUGAGGCAUGCUGGAGGUAUCAGAAGUGCGAAUGCUGACAUAAGUAACGAUAAAGCGGGUGAAAAGCCCGCUCGCCGGAAGACCAAGGGUUCCUGUCCAACGUUAAUCGGGGCAGGGUGAGUCGACCCCUAAGGCGAGGCCGAAAGGCGUAGUCGAUGGGAAACGGGUUAAUAUUCCCGUACUUGGUGUUACUGCGAAGGGGGGACGGAGAAGGCUAUGUUGGCCGGGCGACGGUUGUCCCGGUUUAAGCGUGUAGGUGUGUGUUCCAGGUAAAUCCGGUUCACUUUAACACUGAGGCGUGACGACGAGGCACUACGGUGCUGAAGCAACAAAUGCCCUGCUUCCAGGAAAAGCCUCUAAGCAUCAGGUAACAUCAAAUCGUACCCCAAACCGACACAGGUGGUCAGGUAGAGAAUACCAAGGCGCUUGAGAGAACUCGGGUGAAGGAACUAGGCAAAAUGGUGCCGUAACUUCGGGAGAAGGCACGCUGACACGUAGGUGAAGUGAUUUACUCAUGGAGCUGAAGUCAGUCGAAGAUACCAGCUGGCUGCAACUGUUUAUUAAAAACACAGCACUGUGCAAACACGAAAGUGGACGUAUACGGUGUGACGCCUGCCCGGUGCCGGAA
rnacentral:rRNA from 1 species